ACGCUGGCGGCGUGCUUAACACAUGCAAGUCGAACGAUGAAGCCUAGCUUGCUAGGUGGAUUAGUGGCGAACGGGUGAGAAAUACGUGAGUAACCUACCUUUAACUCUGGGAUAAGCCUGGGAAACUGGGUCUAAUACCGGAUACGACCAAUCUCCGCAUGGAGUGUUGGUGGAAAGCGUUAUGUAGUGGUUAUAGAUGGGCUCACGGCCUAUCAGCUUGUUGGUGAGGUAACGGCUCACCAAGGCGACGACGGGUAGCCGGCCUGAGAGGGUGACCGGCCACACUGGGACUGAGACACGGCCCAGACUCCUACGGGAGGCAGCAGUGGGGAAUAUUGCACAAUGGGCGCAAGCCUGAUGCAGCGACGCCGCGUGAGGGAUGACGGCCUUCGGGUUGUAAACCUCCGUUAGCAGGGAAGAAGAGAAAUUGACGGUACCUGCAGAGAAAGCGCCGGCUAACUACGUGCCAGCAGCCGCGGUAAUACGUAGGGCGCGAGCGUUGUCCGGAAUUAUUGGGCGUAAAGAGCUUGUAGGCGGUUUGUCGCGUCUGCUGUGAAAGGCCGGGGCUUAACCCCGUGUAUUGCAGUGGGUACGGGCAGACUAGAGUGCAGUAGGGGAGACUGGAACUCCUGGUGUAGCGGUGGAAUGCGCAGAUAUCAGGAAGAACACCGAUGGCGAAGGCAGGUCUCUGGGCUGUAACUGACGCUGAGAAGCGAAAGCAUGGGGAGCGAACAGGAUUAGAUACCCUGGUAGUCCAUGCCGUAAACGUUGGGCACUGGGUGUGGGGGACAUUCCACGUUUUCCGCGCCGUAGCUAACGCAUUAAGUGCCCCGCCUGGGGAGUACGGCCGCAAGGCUAAAACUCAAAGAAAUUGACGGGGGCCCGCACAAGCGGCGGAGCAUGCGGAUUA
rnacentral:rRNA from 1 species